CAUGCUAUUCAAUACCUAAGAACACUGGGUUGUAUCUGGGCAAAUUCCCAUCAGGAUACUGCUCAACUUACCAUAAUCCACCUGCAUCACUGCUAAUGAACCACACAAAGACAAUCGGGGAUAUCUAUUGGUUAUGUGGUGACAAACAAUUGAGGUCCCAAUUAACUGGGCAAUGGUGGGGGGAGUGUGCCCUAACCAAAGUCAUAAUGCCUAUCCACAUUAUUCCAGAUGGUAGUCAUAAC